GCCGGGCGCGGUGGUUCACGCCUGUAAUCCCAGCACUUUGGGAGGCCGAGGCGGGCGGAUCACUUGAGGCCAGGAGUUUUGAGACCAGCCUGGCCAACAUGGUGAAAUCCCGCCUCUA
rnacentral:SRP_RNA from 1 species